UGGGGAAUCUUGGACAAUGGGCGCAAGCCUGAUCCAGCCAUGCCGCGUGAGUGAAGAAGGCCCUAUGGGUCGUAAACUGCUUUUUAUACCGGAGAAAACCCGAGUACGUGUACUCGGUUGAUAGUAUGGUAAGAAUAAGCACCGGCAAACUCUGUGCCAGCAGCCGCGGUAAUACAGAGGGUGCAAGCGUUAAUCGGAAUUAUUGGGCGUAAAGGGUGCGUAGGUUGUUUGAUAAGAUAUAUGUGAAAUACCUGGGCUCAACCUGGGAAGGUCAUAUAAGACUGUCAGACUCGAGUAUGGGAGAGGGUAGAGGAAUUUCCGGUGUAGCGGUGAAAUGCGUAGAUAUCGGAAGGAACAUCGGUGGCGAAGGCGUCUACCUGGCCUAAUACUGACACUGAGGCACGAAAGCGUGGGGAGCAAACAGGAUUAGAUACCCAUGUAGUCCCUGAGCGGGCUGGCAAGGCGCAU
rnacentral:rRNA from 1 species